AGGACAAACGCUGGCGGCGUGCCUAAGACAUGCAAGUCGAACGGAAGGCUUCGGCCUUGAGUGGCGGACGGGUGAGGAGCGCGUGGAGAACCUGCCCCGGGGUGGGGGAUAACAGUCGGAAACGAUUGCUAAGACCGCAUACGACCAUUCGUUGCAGGAUGAAUGGGGAAAGCAGAGAUGUGCCCUGGGAGGGCUCCGCGUCGGAUUAGCUAGUUGGUGGGGUAACGGCCUACCAAGGCUGCGAUCCGUAGCUGGUCUGAGAGGACGGCCAGCCACACUGGGACUGAGACACGGCCCAGACUCCUACGGGAGGCAGCAGUUAGGGAAUUUUGCAAUGGGCGAAAGCCUGAACGAGUGACGCCGCGUGCGGGAUGACGCCUUUCGGGUGUAAACCGCUUUUCCCAAGGACGAGGAUGGACGGUACUUGGGGAAUAAGUCUCGGCUAACUACGCGCCAGCAGCCGC
rnacentral:rRNA from 1 species